GACGAACGCUGGCGGCGUGCUUAACACAUGCAAGUCGAACGAAGUGGCGAACGGGUGAGUAACGCGUAAUCAACCUGCCCUUCAGAGGGGGACAACAGUUGGAACCGACUGCUAAUACCGCAUACUGAAGGGGGGGAUUGCGUCUGAUUAGCUAGGUGGGGGGGUAACGGCCGACCAAGGCGAUGAUCAGUAGGCGGGCUGAGAGGAUGAACGGCCACAUUGGGACUGGGACACGGGCCAGACUCCUACGGGAGGCAGCAGGGGGGAAUCUUCCGGAAUGGACGAAAGUCCGACGGAGCAACGCCGCGGGAGUGAUGACGGCCUUCGGGGUGUAAAGCUCUGUUAAUCGGGACGCGGUACCUGAAUAGAAAGCCACGGCUAACUACGUGCCAGCAGCCGCGGUAAUUC
rnacentral:rRNA from 1 species